rnacentral:lncRNA from 1 species
UCCAUGGACCUUAACAUUUCUGUAAUCAUUCCUGCAUUGUUGGACAUUCAGGUGGUGCCUAGUUCUUUCCCUGUGUUUAAAACCAACACUGUGUGCCCUGAGGAGUGAAUCCUUCCUUGUCAAGCCAAAUCUAGGCUAGCAUCCUGGAUGCUCUCUCCUUAACUGUGGACUUGCAGGAUCCACAUAUAGACACUUCAAAGACUUUCCCUGUGUGUUGCCAAAAGGCUCCCUUUCAUAAGCAUUGUACCAGUUUGUAUUUGUGCCAGCCAGCCAGUGCAGCUAGUAAAAAGAAAAAAAAUGGGUAUGCUCAUGUCUCCUGCACAGCCUCAUGGUCCGCUCUAACUCUCUCUCUCUCUUUCUCCUCUCCUCUCCUCUCCUCUCCUCUCCUCUCCUCUCCUCUCCUCUCCUCUCCUCUCCUCUCCUCUCCUCUCCUCUCCUCUCCUCUUUCUCUCUCCCUCUCUGUCUCUGUCUCUCUCUCUCUCUCUGCUUGUGUGUAUGUCUCUGUAUGCGUGUGUGCGCAAGCGCGUGCAGUCAAUCUCAUGAGCUGCAAAUGGCAUCUUCACUGUUGUGGUUAUUUCACUGGAAUUGAAUGCUGUUUACCACCCCUUUCCUGCAUUCCUGCUUUCUGUCCUUUUCCCUCUUGCCAUAAAAAUAAAUCAGCUAUGUUGCAGGAAAAAACAAAAUCACUAAGCAGAUGAUUUAACAGAAGAAAUGGAAUGCUAGAAUGCUAUCAGCAAUCAAUCCUAAUGACUCCCAUGCCUUCUCCAACUGUACUCAUCUCUAUGUGCCCAGUGUUUUUUCAGUAACCUCUGAGACAUCUUCUUGUUUCUCUAGUAUUGUUCUUAUGCAUUGUCAUAUAUGUAUAUUAUAAUGUACAUACUGUUUUUAUAUCUGCUUUUCACGUGUGUGUAUGUGUGUAUAUGCGCAUAGACUGCUGAGCUUCAUUCCUGUCAUUAAAGAUACUUUUAAAAUAUUUCCUUUGGCUGUUGGUACUUGAUUUUUGUGUUGGUUAAUGUAAACAAUAUGUAAAAUGAAGUAGAUAGAUUGAUUCAUAAAUGUGUGUACAUAUUCAUGUCUAUAUCCAUCUGUUUUGUAUUUGUGUACAUUUUAUUAACAAUCCAUUUUUAUAAUCAACCUUAGUAACAUUCAAGUUUAUUUCCUCAGUAAAUGCUUAGAAGAAAUUUCAGGUGUUAAAAUAUGUGUUCCCUGUCUUUUUGGGCAAGAAAAGUGCAUUAUUUAAUUGCUAUACUCAAAGAUAGUGUAUUUUUACCUCCUUGAGCUGGUCCAGGCUUAUGAGCGUUCCAGAUGUACUAUUAUAUUUAUCUUGUGUUUCUGUAUAUGGUUUAUCUUUUAAUAGAUCUAAACACUUUGUAAUUUUAUAUAUUUUCACAUUUGUUUUAUAUAAAUUACACAUAACUAUGACUGGAAAUAUAUAUUUAAAAUUUUCAAUAUAAAAAGGGCCAGUAAAAAAGACCCUACAACAUUUCUGAAUAUCACUACUUGCAAAACAUGAAAUAGAUCUCUGACAAUUUAUUUAUAAUAUAAUAUACAUUGUUUCAUUGAUGUACAUUUUUACCAUCACAGUUCUUUAAGAAUCAUCAUCUUGUAAAUCGCUCAAUAUAUUCGUUCAUUUCAGUUACAAAUUCAUCACUGUGAGAUUCAGUCAUAUCUACAACAAAAUCAUCUGAAGACAUGUUCAAAAUAUUUCUCCAUAGAAGAUCAAUUCUAAGAACACUUCUUUUUUCUCCCUUUCAAGUGCAUUUCAGACUAAGUGAUAUAGAUAUGUCAAAUAUUUUGGACUUAUUAAGUUCUUUACUUAGAAAUCCCCACCUGUAGUGCAGGAGAGUGUACAUACCACUACUCAGCUCAGUUCUUUCAGUUGCUCAUUGUGCUUUUCUUCGUAAAACUUCAUUUAAAAAGUGAAGUUCUAGCACAGUGGUUCUCAACCUGUGGGUCAAGGCCCUUUGGGGAGGGGUCACAUAUUAGAUAUCCUGCUCAUCAGAUAUUUACAUUACAAUUCAGAGAAGUAGCAACAUUAUAGUUAUGAAAUAGCAACAAUAUAAUUCUGUAGUUUAGGGUCACUAUACCAGACGGACUGUAUCAAAGUGGUCACAGCAUUAAGAAGGUUGAGUGCCACUGGUCUAGCACAUUAAAAGACAGAAGAAAAACUUCAUUUUAGUUUCUCUACUUUUUCCAUAUCUCUAUAAGAAUUUUCAAACAAACGUAGACAUAACUGUGUAGAAGUUAGGUUUUAAAAUACUUCCCCCUAUUUGGUUUAUUAAAGUAGCCCUUCAUGCUUAUUUCUCUUAUUUCCACGAUCCUGGUUAAUUGUUUUGAAGUUGUAUUGCCCCUCCUCCCUUAUCCCAGGGAAAACUAACAGUUGUUUUCCUCAUUCUAGCUGUUAAGUAACACUUAAAAUUCAAGAUAACUGUCAGAAAUGUUUAUUAGAAAGAAGAAAAAAGUAUGUUUAAUAUAUCACUUGAAAUGUUUCUAUAAACUCUGUAAUGCAAAUUAAAACUAUGUCUGCCUCAGUAGGAGUGAUUAAUUUAUGUCAUCAAAUACCCUUGUAGACCCUUCUUAUAGGUCAAGACAACUUUUACAAUUUGGCAAACUGGAAGUUUUGUUUUAACAUUUUUGUAGGCUAUAUAUUGCUGAUAUUGUUCUUAUUAUACCUUAAAAAUAUCUGUUGUAUCAUUUGUUUAGCCCAUCCUAUAAAAGAUUCAGAAAUAACCUCUCAUUCACAAAGAUGGAUAGCUAUCAGUAUGACACAAAGAUUCAUGUUAAACCCGGUGUGAUGGUGUACAACUGCAAUCUAAGAACCCAGUAGUCUAAGGCAGGAUACUCCUGAGUUUCAGACUUGCCUGCAUAUAUAGCUAGACAGUGUCUCACAAAAAUUCUGAUUAUCCAUGUUCAUUACCAGGAUGGAUGUUGCCUUAGCUUUGAUUUACUAAAGAUAAAAUUCAUUUCAUAUCUAGCAGCAAAAUAAUCUGAAUGGACUGAGAAUGAGAUCAGUCUGUCAAUUUCUACAAAAAAGGCCAGACAGGUUUUUGAUCAGGUUGUGUGAAACAUAGAUUGACUAUUAUUUCUUAUAUCAUAGUUUAAAAUGUUCUAAUCCAUUAACCUUCCUUUUACAUAGGUCUUUGAACAAAGUUUUGUUGCAUUCAGAGUAGCAGUUUAUAUUUAUUAUAUUAACUUUCUUAAAUGAAACUCCUUAUGAAGUAUGAUAAGUUG